rnacentral:rRNA from 1 species
CCUACGGGAGGCAGCAGUGGGGAAUAUUGGGCAAUGGGCGCAAGCCUGACCCAGCAACGCCGCGUGAAGGAAGAAGGCUUUCGGGUUGUAAACUUCUUUUCUCAGGGACGAAGAAAGUGACGGUACCUGAGGAAUAAGCCACGGCUAACUACGUGCCAGCAGCCGCGGUAAGACGGAGGUGGCAAGCGUUAUCCGGAUUUAUUGGGUGUAAAGGGCGUGUAGGCGGGGAAGCAAGUCAGAUGUGAAAACUACGGGCUCAACCGGUAGCUUGCAUUUGAAACUGGUUGUCUUGAGUACUGGAGAGGCAGACGGAAUUCCUGGUGUAGCGGUGAAAUGCGUAGAUAUUAGGAAGAACACCGGUGGCGAAGGCGGUCUGCUGGACUGCAACUGACGCUGAGGCGCGAAAGCGUGGGUAGCAAACAGGAUUAGAUACCCGAGUAGUC